ensembl:lncRNA
CAGGAUGUCGUUGUGGAGUGAAGACGACGGCAGCAUUGCUGUGAUCUUAUGCUUCCCUCAGCCUGGUUGGAGUAAAUGGCCUUUCGCAAUGAUUGGCCUGAACAGCUCAGUGCAAUAUGGAAACGUGGAUUUGCACUCAGUGUAUACAUACCCAUUGCUCAGUGCUAAGAAAAUGUUUUACCACUGCUUUUUACAUCAUCUCUAUACCUUAUACAACAAACGUGAGUCUGUACUCUGCAUUACUGCUGGAGUUUCAUCCAUUCCUGCCAUGGCAUCAUUCAGUCUUCUUGAAUAGCUGUGGAAUACAUGUCAUUGUUAUUAAUGAACAGAUUCGUUGACAGAUUUCUUGUGCCACUUUCCAUAUCCUGCCUCUUGGUCAAACAUGUUAAUGGAAUAGUUUCAGCGGUUGUGUUCUCAGGUGUGUUCUUGACUGAGUGGAGUUUCACACAGAAUUCAGUUGUGGGUCAUUUCUUGUCAUACAAGAACUUUUUAUUCACAAAUCACCCCCAGUGAAAAGAAAUUGUUAAUAGAAUAUAAUCGAAGUCAUUACAGCUUGUAACACUUUUAAUAAAACGGGAUUUCUAAAAUUCUCAGAAGCAGGUAUGAUAUGCAGUAACCCUUCAUUAGAAAACAGCUCAUUAUACAGGUACAUGAAUACACUGAGUGAGCUUUUGGAAAGACCACGUACUGCACAUAUAAGUAUUGUCAAGUACUUGUCCGACAAUAGUUCGUGUCCAUUGAAUUUAUGAAUGUCACUUGGUCUUCUCAAAGUAAACACGCUUCUGUAGCAGUGAUAUAUUCUGAAUGUGCUCACGGUACAUUUCACCUCCCUUUCCCUGAUCUUCUCCUCAUUUUCGAGAAAAAAAUAAUGGAAAUCUGUAUCACAAUUGCAAAAACUGAGGAAUUCUAUGAUUUGCCAAUGAGCUAUGAAGUGGUUUGGCAAGCCUCGAAGCGCAGACAGAGGAUGAUAUGCAUUGCUCAUCAAGUCAGUGUUGCAGGAAAGCACAUGCAAGAAUUAGAUAGAUAUCUCUUCAAGGUUAGGAACAACUGAGUGGAAAAGCAAAGCUGGAAGUUUAGCUGCUACUGAGUAAUUUUAAAGCUGGCAUAGUGUUUUAAGAGCGUGGUACUCUUUCAACAUCUGCUUGUAGCUCACAUGAGGUUUUGCUCCUACUCAGUUUUGGUGUGAGAUAUUUCUAUCUGUUAUGCAAUUAGUUCUCUUUUAGCCCCCAGGUAGUUAUGAAGUGUUCCUGUCAUCAUUUUUCUGUAGUGGGAAAUCUUCAGUAAGCCCAAGACACUGAUAUCAAAACUGUGCUGGGACAUAUCAAAAGUGUCACAAGGGAGAGCACCACAGAAGUUUAGCAACUGCCCUACAGAAGAGAUCAGUGUUUCUUACCAAGCUUGUUGCCUCAGUAAUAUCUUGUUGAUAGUGAAUUUUACUAGUAAAAUAUGCAUAAAUGCAACGAAUAGUACUUUUCCUGUUUUGAUGUUGUUGCCAUUGCAUUUCACUGAAUACCUACUUAUUAAAGUGCUGUGGGGAAGGUGCCAAGGAUCACCCACUUGUCCUUCUCUGUCCCACUCACGAUUUCUAUACCUCAGUAUCUCCUCCCCUCCGAAUGAAGCAGUCCCAACCUGAUCUAUCUUCAAACAAAUGCCCCUCUGGAUAUUGGUACUUCUGUGGCCUUUCUGGUUCUAUUUUGGCUCUUUUUGAUGGUGAUAAGACCUGAAUGCAGAGAUCAAAGUUAAAUACUUCUUUGGGAGUAAUACUUUUGCAUUAACAUCUCUCUUGUUAAUCCAAACCAUUUUAUUAUCCUUUUUACUACUGCUCUACAUGGAGAAGCCCCGAUUUUCUAACCUGGAAGAUAACAACAUAUACACAACCUAAUGUAAGAAUUAGUGUUCACAUUGUUCCAUCCAGUGUAUAUUUAUUUUUUUCUGCCAUAUGCAGCAAAUUUAUGUUGCUGUUGUGUCAUUCCCAGCUCCCUACUUUUGUUACAGCUUCCCUUGCCAUCUCUGCUGAUCUGAUUGGCCUUGGCCUUAUCUCUGUAUUUCAGUUCAUGUUCCUGUAGAUGGCUGCACUGCACGCUAUUUUCUUUCAGGAUCAGCUAUGAAGGGAGAUUUCAUAGACUUAAAUGAUUUCUCUGGUGGAGUCUGAAGCAGUGCUGGCUUUCAUGCACUGAUACCCUCAGAAACUCAGCCCGGAUGCAGCACAGGGAGACAGUGCAUGCCACUGAAAUGCUGAUUAAUAGAGAGGCGAUAGCCAGGCAAGUGGUAAGCUUCAAGAAUGUGGCAUAAAAAUUGUUGCUUUUGGCUCAUUUAAACAUUCAUUAUGAAAAGAAAUAUGGACAGGACAGGACGAAUGGUUAAAAACAUAAUUUACUCCUCAAGUUCCUGUUAGAAAAACUAAAGGAAUGCUAUAGCAUGCCCUUAAUAAGCAAACAUGGAAAGGUUGAAGGUGCCCUGGACCAGUUUUUCUAAGUUUCAUUUGAAAAGGUACUGUGCUUAAUAAUGGAGAAAAAACAGCUAUUUAAAGCCAGUAUUGAAUGUACAUCUGUGCUCUACUGGUGUUUUUUGGAGCUAUUAACUGAGUAAUAAUGGACAUUUCAUAGGUUUCCAAAGAGAGAGUUACACUUUCAGGUUCAUUCUCUGAUGGCUUACUGCCAUUCACCAUGCAGUAAAACUGUGCUUUUUGCCUCUUUGCAUCAACACACCAAACUGUCAAUUGAGCCGUAGCAAUUGAGAGUGUUGCCCAUUGUCCGUGGCCAUUAACCUGUGCUUCAUAAACUUGACAUUUUACUUCUCCAUUACCAAAAGGGGCAUUCAGUUAGUAAAUCAGCUGCAUUAUCCAAGGGAUGGGCGGGUGAGGAAGAAAUGAAAUUAAAUUCAUUUCAUUCUGUAAUAAUAAAAAGCAAUAACUACAAAUGUGUCGUAUUACACAAAGGCCAUAAGUAAUCUUUACCAGUGUUAAGAGUGCACUUGAACUGUACUAUGGAAAGAGAUUGGAGCCCUCGGAACUGUAGCAUUCUUCUGUCAUAGGAAUACCUGAAUUGCUGUUAUUUAACAAUGCAAUGAGCCCAUACUGCCGCUUUUCAGGAGGUGACAAAGAUGUUUAUGAAUGAAAGCAGUUCUCUUUAAAGCACUGUAUCGGAAAAGAUUGUCUUGUAAAUUUUACCUGUCACAAGCAGGCUGGUUUGUAAAAGAUGUAUGUUUUGGUGUUUAAAAAGAAGUUUAUAAAAUAAUGUAUAUAAUGGUUUCAAAUUACCAGGCUUUUGUAGAUAUUUGAUGCCAAUCGGGUCGCUUUAAUUUUUGUUUCCUUGUUUGUUUGUUUGAUAUCAUUCUGAAGAGUCAUCAAAGUCGGUUUAAACUUUUGAGGUAACAGAGAAAAAAAAAAAGUUUUAGAUUUGAAGAGUGGUACUUUUUAAUCAUUUCACAAUGUACUGUAACUCUUUGGUUCAGCUCUUUUUGUUUAACUUUUUCUGUUUUUAAGAAGACGUUUUUUAUUGACUUUUUUUAAAUGAAAUGUGUUUUGCACAAAAAUACCCGAGAGAUUUGAUUUCUAUGCCAUUUCAAGUAGGUAUUAAGAGAUGUCAUUUCUCCAAUGACAACAAAUUCAACCUUAUGCAAAAGGGAAGGUUUAUCACUUUGAGUGGCUGUAGUCCCUCAUCCAAAAACUAAUUGUUCCUUCAUAAUUGCUGUUGGCAGUAUUGUCUUGUGUUCUUUUGCUAUAAAAACAAAACAAACAAACAAACAAAAAAAAGUGUACAGGUUUGUAACUGCCAAAAUUUGCUAAAGUUGAUGGUUAAAACAAAUUUUCCAAGUAAACAAAAAGAAAAGCC